rnacentral:rRNA from 1 species
AGCGAACGCUGGCGGCAGGCUUAACACAUGCAAGUCGAAGGUGAAGCCGGACUUCGGUCCGGUGGAAACUGGCGCACGGGUGAGUAACACGUGGGAACCUGCCCCGAGGUACGGAAUAACCGCUGGAAACGGCGGCUAAUACCGUAUGUGCCCUACGGGGGAAAGAUUUAUCGCCUUGGGAUGGUCCCGCGUCCGAUUAGCUUGUUGGUGAGGUAACGGCUCACCAAGGCUGCGAUCGGUAGCUGGUCUGAGAGGACGAUCAGCCACACUGGGACUGAGACACGGCCCAGACUCCUACGGGAGGCAGCAGUGAGGAAUAUUGGACAAUGGGGGCAACCCUGAUCCAGCCAUGCCGCGUGAGUGAAGAAGGCCCUAGGGUUGUAAAGCUCUUUCAGCGGGGAAGAUGAUGACGGUACCCGCAGAAGAAGCCCCGGCUAACUUCGUG